AAAAUGGUAAUUAUUGAUAAGCUGAAAUGAUCCAAAUACACGGAGGGAGUAUAAAUUACUCUAGAAUACCAUGCAAGUACAUGUACUAUAGAGAUGUAUGGAGGAGAGUGGAUGGAUGUUGCUGCUUAGCGACCACCAGGCCAACCUCUGGGGAUUCACCUAGGGCAGUAGUUGGCCUCUUUUACCACGUAGUAUUUGGAGUUUCACAUUCAAUGCCUAGGCUAAACAUACACUUUACUGCAGUGAGACGUUAAUUUCGGGCCCUGACAUAGGUGUGGUGAGAUUUCCUACUGAUGACUAUGUGAUGCUAAGAGCAAUACUAAGUAACAGAUGCAUAAAAUAAGCUACUUGCAUAUUUUUAUUAGUAAGAGUCUGCGUGGGCAGGUUUCUUUUUUUGUGUCUGUGAGGGAGAAGGGAUAGUAGACAGAAAGAAUAUGAAUAUAGCACGACCAAAUCUCCAAUCUUCAUGUUACUUGUGGCUCUAACACUAACAGAGAAGGAUGACAUUUCCCCAUGGGCGUGGCUUUCAACCACAAUAAAUAAAUGGUGAAAUGGACAAUCAUUUCAGGUACAUUUCAUACCUUUGAAUAUGACUUCUAGUGCGUAAAUUCACGGCUUAUGUCAAGGCUCCUCGUCCAGUUGAUUAUCUGAGGAAUAGACUGGCACAGCACGCCUCAACAGCAAUGAAUUCAUUGCGCAACAACUGAAUAUGACCCUGGUCUCCUGUCCUCCUACAGAAUAUAUGAAUCUGAAAUUUAGAGAUCAGGGGGUCGACUCUUCCCAAAUGCAUUUUUGAUUGUCAUUAUGAUGCCAAACUUAAUACAGUUACAAUUACCGACUCUGUCUACCCUCAUUUCACAUUGCAAGGAUUUCAUUUUCGUUUCAUUUUUUUGGGAUCUGAACUCAACUUAUCCUCUAAAAGUCUUUUCCUGCUUCAAGUUGCCUACGUCUUUCUUCAAAGAAUUUCCUAAGAUGUUUAUGAUAUUAUUUCACUUUCGUUUUCAUUUCCUCUCUUUUCCUUUCACUGUGGAAAAUCCAAGAUCCAAACAUAGGGUAACUUGAUUUUGUAUGCCAAAAGAAGUCGACAUGAAGGAAUAGCUGCUCCUAUUUAUAAAACUACAAGAAAUUACAUUCAUUCAUCAAAAAUAUACAGUCAAUUAACACAAAACUAGAAGGCUUCAAUAACAUGAUAACAAGCCAGUAUAGUAUAGAGUCGGCAUCAACAUUUCUUUAACAGCACAAAAGCGGUACAAGUUUACAGAUUUACAACUACCAGCGGACCAAGUGCAAACGUUUUUUUCUGGUUCGAUAUCAGAGUAAUCGUGAGAGAAACAUCAGCACACGUUUAAAACAUACGUGAAGUAUUUAUCUACAUAUCUCUAUCACAAUGGAAGCGGUAAUACCUUCAGGAGUGAUCUUCAACCAUCUGGUUCACAAAAAACUUUCCUUCUAUGCUCUUAUUUACUAUUACCUUGAACUUCACUUCUUUGGUUCCCCACUUAACCU